GAUGAACGCUGGCGGCGUGCCUAAUACAUGCAAGUCGAGCGAAGCGGGGACGGGUGAGUACCACGUGGAUACCCUCCUUUAAGACUGCGAUAACUUCGGGAAACCGGAGCUAAACCGGUUACUUAUAGGUGGAUCCGCGCUGCAUUAGCUAGUUGGUAAGGUAACGGCUUACCAAGGCAACGCUGCAUAGCCGACCUGAGAGGGUGAUCGGCCACACUGGAACUGAGACACGGUCCAGACUCCUACGGGAGGCAGCAGUGGGGAAUCUUCCGCAAUGGGCGAAAGCCUGACGGAGCAACGCCGCGUGAGUGAUGAAGGUCUUCGGAUCGUAAAACUCUGUUAUUAGGGAAGCGGUACCUAAUCAGAAAGCCACGGCUAACUACGUGCCAGCAGCCGCGGUAAUUC
rnacentral:rRNA from 1 species